rnacentral:lncRNA from 1 species
AAAAGUAUUCUCUUUUGUUUUUGUUUUUCCUCCUCGUCUUGCUAUAGAGUUCCUCUACUAGUAAAUAUUGCAAUAGCCAGGCCUCAUGAACUGGGGGGGCUGUCCCACUUGCAGGGGGCUCACGUCACUUCAGUAGGGGGCAAAUCGGCUGUAGCCACCUCGGUAUAAACUCGCCACAGCGCCAACUCCGUAGCUAGCGGCAGGGGCAAGGGCAUGGUAAGGAUCUGCUGUGUACACCCUGCCAUAACCAUCGCUGUAAGCUGCUGCAGCGGCUGCAGCGGCCGUGGCUGCUGUUGCAGUAGCAGGCUGUGCAUAUCUGUAGGCUGCGUAUCCACCCCUGGGUAGGCAGGGAUGGCUGUAGGAGGUACUGCCCGGACUGCCCCAUAAACCGUCCUUCCUCGGCCCCUCAGGUGGGCUCCCCGAAACGCGGCUGCUGUAGUGGCUGCAGUUGGAUAGGGGAAGCCUGGAAUGAUUAAAGGAAUGUAAGUGUUAAUACCCCCCCUUCCUGACAGGGGCACUGCGGCGUCAUUGCCCAGCGAGACAUCUGCUUGAAAGCUGGACGCUGCAUAUAACUCAGGGCCGUACACCGCUCCAACCACAGGACUCAACUUCCAACCAUUUGCAUAUGGCGUGACCAUCUUCUUAUUGGUCAUCACUCGUGCUGUGGCGUUGUUAACCUCGAUUUUACGGCCCUCUACCACGGUGCCGUGUAAUUUCUCCCUGGCCCUGUCUGCAUCAGCACUAUUCUCGAAAGUUACGAACCCGAAUCCCUUGGAGCCGCGCUCGUUAAAGAUUAUCUCUACAUCAAGGAUUUUGCCAAAUUGCCCAAACAUCUGUCGAAGGUCAGGAUCUCGAAAGCGGAAGGGAAUGUUAGACACAUGAAGUCGUUUUGGAGUGGAUUUGCUCUCGGUGUUCUCACUGCUCUGUGUCUGUGAUUGCUGUCCAUCUGUCUGUGCCCCUCCUUCUGUCUGUGCGAGAGAUCCGUUCUGCGUGCUGGCUGUGGUCGUGCUCUGCUCGCCGUGUGGCUGCGUGCUCCCGUAGAGCGUCAGAUUGUGCUCGCUGGUCUGGCCUGCAUAGUCCUGAGUGUGUGGCACCCCAUACUCUGUGGGAAUCCCGUUCUGUGGGGGUGGCGGAAAUGGGAUUGUGGUGAAUGGCUGCACCAUUGCAUCAGGAGUUGCUGCUGGCUCCUGGUUACCAUCAGGGCAAGUGAGCUGCAGGUCCAUCCUUCAAUCUCCGGGGGAGAUUCUCC